rnacentral:lncRNA from 10 species
GUCUCAGCAGGACAGCUUAUCUCUGCUCCAUGUGGCCUAACUGGGGUUGGAUGACCCACCUCCAAGAUGGCUUACUUUCAUGAAUGGUGACCUCACACUGGGAGCCUGAAACCAGCCAUGGUGAGAGUAUUGAUGGACAGAAAUCAGCAAAUGCUACAAAUCAGGACUCUACUCCUCCCCAGAGCUGGAAGCUAACUCUACAGCAGAAGCAGUGAGUCACAAGGACAAGAACCAAAUGAUAUGGACGACCCCAUCACAACAACUCAAGCUGGUGUAAACAUUCUCACAUGGCAUGAGAAUGAAACAUAAUGCAGUGCUCCCUCUCCCCAGACCUGGGUCACAUUCCUCUAUGGAUUAAAUGCAAUAGCAGUUAGGUUUUAAUUGCAUUCCUUUGAGCAAUGUCAUUUAUUUUACCUGUUGUUUACCAUUAAAUUUAUGUCCUGGAAGAUGUUGAUAAAACUACAAGAAGGAAAGUAUCCUUUUGCUAUGGUUUGAAUAGCAAACCAAAAUUUGUGUUGAAAUUUUAUCCCAAAUGUGGCAGAGAAUUAGUCCAUUCUCAUGCUGCUAAUAAGGACAUACCCAAGACUCGGUAAUUGAUAAAGGAAAGAUGUUUAAUUGACUCACAGUUCAGCAUGGUUGGGGAGGCCUCAGAAAACUUACAAUCAUGGUGGAAGGGGAACCAAACACGUCCUCCUUCACAUGGUGGCAAGAGAGACAAGUGCAGAGAAAAGGAGGGGAAAGCCCCUUAUAAAAUCAUCAACUCUCAUGAGAACUCACUCACUAUCAUCAGAACAGCAUGGAGGUAACCGCCCCCAUGAUUCAAUUACCUCCCACUAAGUCCUUCCCAUGACCCAUGGGGAUUAUAGGAUACCUGAGAACUUUGACAUGUUUCUGACAUGCCCUGAAAACAGCUGCCACAUUGCCUCAGUGAUUAACAUUCGGCUCCUCAUCACAUAUGCAAAUUUCAGCAGCCGGCUUGAAUUUCUCCCAAGAAAAUGGGUUUUUCUUUUCUGUCACAUAAUCAGGCUGCAAAUUUUCCAAACUUUUAUGCUCUGCUUCCUCUUGAACACCUUGCCACUUAGAAAUUGCUUCUGUCAGAUUCCCUAAAUCAUCUCUCUCAAGUUUAAAGUUUCACAGAUCUCUAGGGCAGGGGCAAAAUGCCGCCAGUCUCUUUGCAUAGCAAGAGUGACAUUUACUCCAGUUUCCAACAAGUUCCUCAUCUCCAUCUGAGACCACCUCAGCCUGGACUUUAUUGCCCAUAUCACUAUCAGCAUUUUAGUCAAAGCCAUUCGACAAGUCUCUAGGAAGUUCCAAACUUUCCCACUUCUUCCUGCCUUCUUAGCCCUCCAAGUCUCUAAGAGUUUCCAAACUUUCCCACAUUUUCCUGUCUUCUGAGCCCUCCAAAUGGUUUCAACCUCUGCCUGUUACCCAGUUCCAAAGUUACUUCCACAUUUUCAGGUACCUUUACAGCAGCGCCCCACUCUCUGUGGUACCAAUUUACUGUAUUAGUCCCUUCUCCCACCUCUAUAAGGACAUAUCUGAGACUGGGUAAUUUAUAAAGGAAGGAGGUUUAAUUGACUCACAGUUCCACAGGGCGGGGGAGGCCUCAAGAAACUUACAAUCAUGGUGGAAGGGGAAGCAAACACGUCCUUCUUCACAUGGCAGCAGGAGAUGUGCAGAGAGAAGUGGGGGAAAGCCCCUUCUAAAACCAUCAGAUCUCAUGAGAUCUCAUCAGAUCUCAUAAGAACUCACUCAAUAUCAUAAGAACAUGAUAUGGAGGUAACCGCUGCCAUGAUUCAAUUACCUCCCAUGGGGUUUUUUCCAUGACAUGCAGGGAUUAUGGGAGCUACAAUUCAGUAUGAGAUUUAGGUGCGGACACAGCCAAAACCAUAUCAGGCAGUAUUGAGAAGUGAAGCAUUUAAGAGGUGAUUGGGUCAUGAGGGCUCUGCCCUCAUGAAUGACUUAGUCUAUUCACAGAUUAAUGAAAUAGUGAGUUAUCAUUGGAAGGGAACUGUGGCUAUAUAGGAAAAGGAAGAAAAACCUAAGCUAGCAUGUUAGCGCACUCAGCCCCCUUGCCACGUGAUGCUCUGCACUGCCUCAGGACUCUGCAGCAUCCCCAUUAGCAAGAAAAUGUGGCAUAUAUACACCACGG